CAUCAUUGUGUCACCCUUCUGAACUCCAACAUGGCGUCCCAUUUCAGCAGUAAGUGUUUUUCUCAUUAGAUACAAUCAACAUGUUAAACUUACAAAACUGAUUCUGGGAAGAUGGCAGAACAAUAAGCAAAGUAAAAAGCCUCUCUGAGAGAAACAGCCCAGAGGCUGGAAUAUAGCAUUCUGGAGAAGACCAGAAGGGAAG
rnacentral:lncRNA from 1 species